AAUGAACGUUGGUGGCGUGGAUUAGGCAUGCAAGUCGUGCGCGAUAGUGGCUUCGGCCACUGGAGAGCGGCGAACGGGGUAGUAAGGCGUCGGAACGUGCCCAAGGGUUCGGGAUAGCGGCGGGAAACUGCCGGUAAUACCGGAUGACCUCUUCGGAGCAAAGGUGUGAUUCCGCCAUUGGAGCGGCCGACGUGAUACCAGCUAGUUGGUGAGGUAAUGGCUCACCAAGGCAAAGACGUCUAGGGGGUGUGAGAGCAUGGCCCCCACCACUGGGACUGAGACACUGCCCAGACACCUACGGGUGGCUGCAGUCGAGAAUCUUCGGCAAUGGGCGAAAGCCUGACCGAGCGACGCCACGUGCGGGAUGACGGCCCUCGGGUUGUAAACCGCUGUCGAGGGGAUGAAGUCACGAGGAGCAAUCUCCUUGUGUUGACAGAGCCCUGGAGGAAGCGCGGGCUAAGUACGUGCCAGCCGCCGCGGUAA
rnacentral:rRNA from 1 species